rnacentral:lncRNA from 1 species
CAAAGACAAAAGCUUAAGAGCUUAGUGUCAUAGCCAACAUUGUCUCUUGCUGACUAAACUUGACCCGCUUGGCUUCUUCCUCGGUCACUCCAUACGCCGCUUUGAUCACAUCCACGGGAACCGCUCUCAAGUACGAUGUUCCACCGCUGAGUGUGUUCAUGUAAGCAUUGUCGUUCGUCUUGAACGCUAUCCACUCGAACCCUGUUUCACCAGCGGUUUUGACAACCGCAAAGCCUUGUGGAACCACAAGAAGCUCUCCUUGUUGCACUUAUGCAUUGAACACGAACUGACCGUUGUCGUCAACUACUUGUAUCUUGGCUUGACCGCCUGUAACGUAUAGCACGGUGUGUGCGUUUGCGGUCCAAUGCGGCAACAUCAUUCCUCCCUAUCUCCACAAAAAAAAAAUCAUUACAUUAACACAUAUUAUGAGGCAACAGAACUCUUAAAAAAACUAAAAAACUAAUGGUAUAAUUUUCAUACUAAUGAGUAACCUGAAUACUAAUACAAGAAAUAUCAUCACAUUAAUUAACACAUAUAUGAUUCAACAAAACUUUAAAAAUUGCUUACUAACACUCUAGAAUUAAUGAACCUAACCAAACACUUACGCUGUAGAGAACGCCUCUAAUGGCGUUAAGCCUUACUAAACGUGGAACAGGGAGAUUGAGGCUGUUAAGAGUGCUGAUUCUGCCAGCUCGUGUGCUGAAAAAGUCGCUACGUUCUGGAUCGUCUAUGUUCUCGUGAAUCCUCGCCGUGCAAUGCGUCUCUUCGAUGCCUACCAUAAAGGUAGUUAUGUAAAAUGAUAUUAUUAAAAAACAUUUUUAAUAAAUACAUAAUUUCAAAACAGUUUAAUUUAAAAACAUGAUCAUUUACACUAACUAAUACACAACUCGUUAAGCAAACUAGGGUCGGCCCGGGGUACGCCUGAGAUUUUUGUUUAAAUUUAAAUAUUGAUUAUAUAUUUAGUAUGUUUAUUUUAUUUAUAAUAUUAUAAUCUAUUAUAAAAAAAAUAUAGUAGCCAAACAAUUAUAAAAUCAUUUUAAAUUAUUCACUGUUUUGUUUUACGUAUUUCAAAAAUUUUACUAUCCAUUUUUUGUUAUUAGAAAUUAUAUAUAAGGUGAUGAAUAAAAUAAACAAAAAUAUUUUUUAGUUAUAGUGUUUAAUUGGUUGAACUGUAUAAAUAUUUCAUUUCACUUAAAUCUGUUUAUGAAUUUUGUUUCCAAUUAGUAUCCAAAUAGUUUAAUGAAUUCUGUUUAUGAAUUUUUUCUCAACGAUUAAAAGCGUUUAAGUACGAACCCGAAUACAAUAUAAGAACUCGAAAACCUUGUCUUGAAGGAUCCAUGAAGGUACACGAAACAUUUUACUCAGUUUUUUUUCUGCUAAAGCUUAGUAAUAGACAUUUCUAUACCUUUUUCAUCUUCAAGAAGAGUUGCCAACGCCAUAACCUUACGAUCUUUUUCAUGAGCUGUGGUUGAGAGGUUCAAAAAUGAAAAAAAAAAAGCAAGCAUUAUUUUUAUAUGAGCUUCUUUCCGAGUUUCAUCCUCCGAUAACUAUCUUGAACUUUUUUAGACAUGAACAUGGCAUGGAUCCGCACUCCAGAUCUCUCGAGCGUUUCUUAUACUUGUCACUGACUCGUCUUGCAGAAAUAUUCUUAUGCUUCACCUGGAGGAUGUUCCUCUGCUCGAUCUUGGCUCACUUGGAGUCCUCUAGCAAUAUUAUCUUCUGUCUCCAUUGAUUACUGCGUUCUCCAACACUCUUACAGACCAAAUGAUUUUCAUGUACUGCCUCCUUGCUUGUAACCCACUGAUAGCAGUCUACAAAAGAGAUGAAAAAGAAACAUGAUUUAACAAACACAUGGGUUGCAAGCUUCAGACAAAACUUAUGACUCAAGUGUGACACACAUUAAACCAUAUCACGACAUACAUGGAUCCCGCGAGAACAGAUAUGGAAAUUCUAAUGGGAUGAGACCAUAUAUUUGACAAUACUGUUCUCUGUAAGGUCGUGAUGUAAGGAGCAGUAUCUCUUCAGGUUUAUGAGAAACAAACUAAGCAGGCUUUGUUCUUAAACAUCACCAAGCACACUGCUCAAUCAGAAAAGAUAAUAAGGCAUAUGAGGAGACCUAGAGCCCUCGCAAGAAUAGAAGAAGUGAAUCAUUCUUAGAACUGAAGCUUGUUUCUUUUUAAGAAUCUGCAUCAGAUUUCAUAAAAUAAUCAGAGUAGGAUGAAAGCAAAAACCUUAAAACGUAUCGUCGAACUACCAAGACUUUAGGUACUAACGCUUCCAAUCAAACGCUUACAAAAUAAUUACGCAGAGCCUUCUUAGAUUUGAAGUAAAGCAAAUGCUAAUUGUAUAUCAAAUCGAUAGGAAAACUAACCUUUUUAUAGAUUAAGAGAUACACCGCCUUGAAGAGGAUAACUCUCAUUCAUUGCCAGAUCGCGCUUGAAGUCGGUCUAUGGAGUUAAUUCGGCUGUUUAAAGCGAUGAAUCAAACCAUCCUGACGGUUCAGAUUUUUAGAACAGUAGACAAAACGACGCCAUGGAAAACACGAUCAGAGCUUCUAAUUUAUGAUUCGUCUAAUUCUUCAUCACGAAAUACCAUUGUUGUUGAAGAGCUUCAGAGAUCGAUGAAGUACAUGAACCCUAAUUUAAGUUUCAAUUAGAUGAUGAUGAAAGAACGCUACCAGAUCUCAUGUGUCUUCAUCGAGGCGGAGAUGAAACUGACUAACUCAAAUAUCAAAACGCCGCGUCACACCGCUUUACAAUUAGAGUAGUCUGAAUUUAAUGAACAUCGUGUAUUGAUUGUUCUGCCACGUAGCGCGUCCAAAAUCACUGAUUUUCUGACCUAGAAUCCUUGAUGGCUUGAUAAAAUACGAAUGCUCAUCUCUAUAAUUUUAUUUGACAAGUCAGUUUCUUAUGUGUCGCACUCACGUUAACUCUCAAAGUGGUUGAUUACACUGAUAUCCUUAAUGAAUUAAAAAUAUUAUAUUUAAAUACUAUUAUAGAAUUUUUAUUUAGUUUUUUUAAAAAAAAUUCCAAAUAACAUAUAUAAUAAAAAGGAAACAUUAAGGGUAUCAAAGCAAAUCUGAAUUCUCAGUUUAAAGAUUAUUUAAAAUAAAUUUUAGUUUACCAUUUAAUAAAUUUAAGGCAUAAAAUUAUUUAGAAUUUAUAAAAUAUUUUAAAUAUUGUAAAUAUUGAUAUGUGUUCAUGAGCUUCCAAAAAUGUAUCAAUUACUUAUAUAUGUAACUUCAUAUUGAUCAUCCCUUUAUUUUCUGAUAUUUUGUUUUGAAAAAAUCAACAUAUAAUUUGAUAAAUAUUAUGAAACUACAUGCACAUUUUAAUGAUAUAUAAAAUUAAUUUGACUUUACUUAAUUAUAAUAAAAAUAAUUAUACUUCAGUUUGAAUUUGAAAGAAUAUAUAUAAUUUAAUAUACUCACAACAUGAGUGACUCGACUAAUCCAAUUUAUAUCAAAAAUCAUAUAUUUAACUACAAUAAAAAUAUAUAUUUUUUAAUAAUAAUUUGUUUUACACAUAACAAAUGAAAAUAAAAUAUUAACCAACUAUUAUAAUUUAGUUCUUUUGUAAAAUUUAUAUAUAUGCAUGAUAUUGUAGAAUAUUAUUGUAUAUUAAUUUAUGUAAUUUGGAAUCAGACACUUUAGUUUAUUUUAUAUUUCAUUCUAAGCACUAUAUAUCUCAAGUUAUACAUAAUCUUCCUCAAAUAUAUUUACAUAUCUAAGACAACAAACAAUGUAAAUGCAAAUAAGAAAAUUAAUCAUAAUUUUAAUAUAUUUAAAAUAUAAAAAAAUAUAGUUGAAUUGAGAGAAAUAGAUGGAAUCUAAUAUACCCAAAUGAUAAUUAAAUCGACUAUAAAAAACAACCAAAACGACUAGAUAUAACAUAUCGAAAAACAUAUGUCUAACUAAAGUAAUAUAAUAUUAUUAAUAUAAAUUAUGCAUACAAAUUAUAAAUUAAUUAAAAAUUAAAAAUAAGUAACAAUCAAUUAUUAUAAUAAAUAUAUAUAUUCCGUGCAUGAGCACGGAAAAAUCACCUAGUAAAUCAUAUUUUAAAGACACAACUUUUAAAGUUGAUUUAAAAAGCUAAUAUAUAUUUUAAAUAAAAAGACACAACUUUUAAAGUUGAUAUUUUUAGAGUUUCUUGUUGGAAACACACAUCUAUAAAUUGACAAUUUUUAAAAUCAACACAUAACCUUUUAACUUAAUUGAAAUUCACAACCCUUUACAAUUAAUUGAAAUUGUUGUUAUUAGUAGAUUGACAACAAAUUCCAAUAGUCGUCCAAAAAACAACAACAAAUUCCAAUAUAUUUUUUUUUGUUAGUUUACGCAAUUGUACAAAAAAGAAAAAAGAAGACACACAUAUCAAUAACAUAUCAAUAUUUGUUAUUUAUAUUUGUAUUGGGUAGUAUAGUACACCUUAUUAUGCCAAAACACCAGAAACAAUUUGUUAAAAAUUUUAUUCUUUUCUUUGACAUAGUAGUAUUAUAAAUAUUAUUUGAUUUACACUAUAGAUAAAAUAAUCAGGGAGGACAAUCAUAAAAACAUAUGCAUAUUGGUAUUUUGCCUGUACCCUGUCCGCAAUGACCAGUCCCUGGUUUAUGCCUCCUGACGCAUUCUGCUUCACAGCUUUUGGGUUCACAUGUUCUAUCUUUGUUUUCUAAAUUUUGACGACAUGUCUCCUUACUUUUUCUUUUCUGAGCAAUCGUUAUUUCUCCUGUCAUUAUAAUAAUCAAAACAUAAUCUUAAUUUUCAUCUUUAAAAUAGAAAAUCAUUUUUUGUAAAGCAUAUGUUUAGAGAGCUUUCUGAAUAUUUAUACCAAAAAAACUGAAAAUCUAAACAUUUUCUUUCUUAACCAUUGAUUAUUUUUAUAAAAUUAUUAAACUCAAUAUUAUAGAAUUAUACGUAAACUUUAUGUAGGUAUAUUAAAUAAACCACAUGAAAUAAAGUUUAUUUUAGAAUGCAUAUAUAAUAUAUUCAUAAAGUCGUAAAUGUAAGUACAAACCUAAUAGAAGAAUUGUGAGCAUAAGAAAACCAAUAAACCAUGGUUUGAAAGCAACUUUCAUCUUCGAUAAUGAAAUAGUAGUGUUUUAAAAAUUAGAAAGACAGAGCACUAUAUUUAUAGAUAAAUCACAAAUUGAAAUAUUUCCAAUUUAAGCUAUGUAUAUUUUAAAAUUCCGAUAUUAAAGGAUCUAGUUUGACCAAAAAAAUUCACAUCUCCAAUUUUUUAUUUACUCAAUAAAUAAAAAGAUUUAAAUUUUUUAAAUUUAUAUCUAAAAUUGUGGUGUUUGGAUGUAAAAUUUAUACCUAAAAAUCCAAAUACUUAAAUACCUUUCAGUACAAAACAUAAUUUGUUUUUAUAUUAAUUCUUUUUACUACAUAAUAUUUUAAUAGUAAAAUUACGUUUUCUCGUCAGAACAAAACAGUUGAAUCACUUUCACGCCAAAAAUCACGUUUUUGACAAAACGGUUGAAUCACUUUCACGCCAAAAUCGUGAUGAAGUUGAAAUUUUUAUUGUCAGGGACCCUGGGAACCCACACCUUGGACUCGGGGUGAGGUGAGGUGUUGUUUUACGUGUCAUGAAGUUGUCUCUGUUUCCUGAGCGGCUUCUGGUAUGUUGUGCUUUUUGGAUCCAUGUCCUUAAUACAUGUAAUGAUGUUGACUCUGUUUACUCGCAACACUUGUAGUAAUAAACUAAAAUACUUGUCACUGAAACUUUUGUGAAAGUCCCUUCUUAUUACAUCAUUAACUCGAAAAUCUAAAAACAUAAUUGAAACAAAGACAAAAGCUUAAGAGCUUAGUGUCAUAGCCAACAUUGUCUCUUGCUGACUAAACUUGACCCGCUUGGCUUCUUCUUCGGUCACUCCAUACGCCGCUUUGAUCACAUCCACGGGAACCGCUCUCAAGUACGAUGUUCCACCGCUGAGUGUGUUCAUGUAAGCAUUGUCGUUCGUCUUGAACGCUAUCCACUCGAACCCUGUUUCACCAGCGGUUUUGACAACCGCA